AACAUUAACAAGUAAAGAAAUUGAGUGUCAGAUUCUACAACAACCAUUUUUUGAGCAUUUAUGAUAAGCCAGUCUCUGUGAAUACAGUGGUGAACAGGGAUACCAUAAGAAAGUGGCAUUUCAACACAGCUUCCCCUGCUGAAUUGUAGAUGACUGUACUAUGGAUAUUUAUGAAGUCCAGAGGGGAGUCUCCUGACCAGGAAGAGUUGCAAGUACAGAAGUGCUUCUUCCUUUGGGGCCCCACAACCCUAAUGACCUCUUUGGAGCUUCAGUUCUCUAUGACUGAUGGUAUUGCUGAUUGGAGCCUCUUGCAAAAGGAAGCAGCAUUCACCCUUGGAGUUCUGGACUCACAGCUCUGACGCUGAAACAGGUAAAGAAAACGUGCACAGAAUCAGAUGUUUCACAAUCUCAGAAUUCCAGGUCUAUGGAAAUGCAGGACCUAGCAAGUCCUCAUACUCUUGUUGGAGGUGGUGAUACUCCAGGUAGCUCCAAACUGGAAAAAUCUAAUCUCAGCAGCACAUCAGUUACUACAAAUGGGACAGGAGUAAUUACAAGUA
rnacentral:sRNA from 1 species